UACCAGCUCCUCGAGUGGUCGGGGCGAUUAUUGGGCCUAAAGCAUCCGUAGCCGGCCUUACAAGUCCCCCGUUAAAUCCAACUGCUUAACAGAUGGGCUGCGGAGGAUACUAUAAGACUAGGAGGCAGGAGAGGCAAGCGGUACUCAGUGGGUAGGGGUAAAAUCCGUUGAUCCAUUGAAGACCACCAGUGGCGAAGGCGGCUUGCCAGAAUGCGCUCGACGGUGAGGGAUGAAAGCUGGGGGAGCAAACCGG
rnacentral:rRNA from 1 species